UACGGAGGGUGCGAACGUUAAUCGGAAUCACUGGGCGUAAAGCGCGCGUAGGCGGUUUGUUACGUGGGAUGUGAAAUCCCCGGGCUUAACCUGGGAAUUGCAUUUCAAACUGGCCGACUAGAGUACGGUAGAGGGAGGUAGAAUUUCCUGUGUAGCGGUGAAAUGCGUAGAUAUAGGAAGGAAUACCAGUGGCGAAGGCGGCCUCCUGGAUCGAUACUGACGCUGAGGCGCGAAAGCGUGGGGAGCAAACAGG
rnacentral:rRNA from 1 species